rnacentral:rRNA from 1 species
UACGAAGGGGGCUAGCGUUGUUCGGAAUUACUGGGCGUAAAGCGCGCGCAGGCGGCUAUCCAAGUCAGUGGUGAAAGCCCGGAGCUCAACUCCGGAACUGCCAUUGAAACUGUUUAGCUUGAGUAUGAGAGAGGUGAGUGGAAUUCCCAGUGUAGAGGUGAAAUUCGUAGAUAUUGGGAAGAACACCGGUGGCGAAGGCGGCUCACUGGCUCAUUACUGACGCUGAGACGCGAAAGCGUGGGGAGCAAACAGG